GUGAAUCAUCGAAUCUUUGAACGCACAUUGCGCCCCUUGGUAUUCCGAGGGGCAUGCCUGUUCGAGCGUCAUUACAACCCUCAAGCUCAGCUUGGUCUUGGGCUCCGCCGCUCACUCGGCGGGCCCUAAAAUCAGUGGCGGCGCCGCCGUGGCCCUGCGCGUAGUAAACCUCCUCGCUACAGGGACCCGGCGAACGCUGGCCAGCAACCCCCAACCCUCCACGUUUGACCUCGGAUCAGGUAGGGAUACCCGCUGAACUUAAGCAUAUCAAUAAGCGGAGGA
rnacentral:misc_RNA from 1 species